UACGUAGGGUGCAAGCGUUAAUCGGAAUUACUGGGCGUAAAGCGUGCGCAGGCGGUUAUGUAAGACAGAUGUGAAAUCCCCGGGCUCAACCUGGGAACUGCAUUUGUGACUGCAUAGCUAGAGUACGAUAGAGGGGGAUGGAAUUCCGCGUGUAGCAGUGAAAUGCGUAGAUAUGCGGAGGAACACCGAUGGCGAAGGCAAUCCCCUGGGAUGUGACUGACGCUGAGAGCGAA
rnacentral:rRNA from 1 species